GCACGACUGCGCACGCAUCCACUUCCACUUCCUCUCUAAAUGUCUAUAACUUCCGGCGUGGCGAUGAAUUCUGCGGUCGUUGCUGAUGAAAUGUUUCCCGAAGGGGUCGGCACCUAUAUGGAUAUCGAAGAGGCUGGUGGUUCUAGUGCUCUUUUGAUGGACUUA